rnacentral:rRNA from 1 species
UACGUAGGUGGCAAGCGUUACUCGGAAUCACUUGGCGUAAAGCGCAGGUAGGCGGUUUGAUAAGUCUCUUGUGAAAGCUCCCGGCUUAACUGGGAGAGGUCAAGGGAAACUGUCAGGCUAGAGUGUGGCAGAGGAAACUGGAAUUCCCGGUGUAGCGGUGAAAUGCGUAGAUAUCUGGAGGAACACCGGUGGCGAAGGCGGCAUCCUGGACCGACACUGACGCUGAGGAGCGAAAGCCAGGGGAGCAAACGGG